AUGCUGUUAGCUUAGGUGGAAAAAGCACCAGACUCCGAAUCUGGAGAUUAUGGGUUCGAAUCCCAUACAGCAUGCCA
rnacentral:tRNA from 1 species